ensembl:lncRNA
GAGGCAGGACUCCCUAAACACUGCAGUGAUUGGUCUUUCAGUCUGACAGACGUGGUUCCCCUUAGUGAGAUACUGAACGGAUGUUAGAAAGAGAACCAUUUAUGACAGUUUCAGAUUUUUACAGUGAACACAGAAAAUGUCUUACUCACCUACACCAGUUUAACCAAUACAGCAUUUUUUAUAAGGUAUAGGAUUAAUGAAGUGUGUUAGUAUCAGUCCUGUAUCUUGUGUUUUCUUCCCCCACGUGCUCCAUUACCUACUUUCUCCCUUGUGUUCUUCGAUUUCAGGUGUUCCCUCUUUAGUUCUAGUUGUGUCUUGUUAUUUCCGUGCUUAGUCCCAUAGUUUAAGCCCUGUGUGUUUCCAUGUCUAGCAUCCGGUAUUGUUUGUCUAUCCCCUGCUACAUGUGUUUUCCUGAAUUCCAUUGUGUUAAAUAAAUCAAUAUUUGUUCUAAUUUUCCCAGGGAAGGUUUUUUUUAGGGGGGGGCUAUAGGGGUCCAGCCACAGGGUCCAGCCUGAGUGUCAAGGCCAAGGCCAUGGAGGCUGUCCCGCCAUGGUUGCCUGUGCUGCCGGCUCCACCGUGAACUGCCUACUCCGCCAUGACCUCCUGAACUGUCUCCUCCACCAUGGUCUCCUGAACUGUCUGCCACGCCAUGGCCUCCUGAACUGUCUGCUCUGCCAUUGCCCCCUGAGUUCCCUACUCCGCCAUGGCCUCCUGAACUGCCUGCUCUGCCAUGGCCUCCUGAGUUCCCUGCUCCGCCAUGGUGCCCCGAGCUGCCUGCUCCGCCAUGGCGCCCAAAGCUGCAUGGCCUGGGAUUUCAGGUGUUCCUUCUUAAGUUCAAGCGUGUCAAUUUUACGCAGACAGCAAGCACUGUGAUUGGUCUGCUAGAACCCCUUCCUCCGUAUGUACUUGAGUUUUGUGUGUGUUUAUGUGCAUUUUAAUAUAUUUUAAUGUUACACCUUCUUAUAUAAAAUAAAACAAAGCAAAAAACAAGUGUCUUUUCA